rnacentral:rRNA from 1 species
GAUGAACGCUAGCGGCAGGCUUAAUACAUGCCAGUCGAGGGGCAGCACGAAUAGCAAUAUUUGGUGGCGACCGGCGCACGGGUGCGUAACACGUAUACAACUUACCUAUAACAGGGGGAUAGCCUUUCGAAAGAGAGAUUAAUACCCCGUAAUAAAUUUGAUGGCAGCAUUGGAUUUUGAAAGCUCCGGCGGUUAUGGAGGGGUAUGCGUCUGAUUAGCUAGUUGGUGAGGUAACGGCUCACCAAGGCGACGAUCAGUAGGGGAUCUGAGAGGACUACCCCCCACACUGGUACUGAGACACGGACCAGACUCCUACGGGAGGCAGCAGUAAGGAAUAUUGGUCAAUGGAGGCAACUCUGAACCAGCCAUGCCGCGUGCAGGAAGACGGCCCUAUGGGUUGUAAACUGCUUUUGUACCAGAGAAAACCCCUGUACGUGUACGAGGUUGAUAGUGUGGUAAGAAUUAGCAUCGGCUAACUUCGUGCCAGCAGCCGCCGUAACAC